UUAAGCGACUAAGCGUACACGGUGGAUGCCCUGGCAGUCAGAGGCGAUGAAGGACGUGCUAAUCUGCGAUAAGCGUCGGUAAGGUGAUAUGAACCGUUAUAACCGGCGAUUUCCGAAUGGGGAAACCCAGUGUGUUUCGACACACUAUCAUUAACUGAAUCCAUAGGUUAAUGAGGCGAACCGGGGGAACUGAAACAUCUAAGUACCCCGAGGAAAAGAAAUCAACCGAGAUUCCCCCAGUAGCGGCGAGCGAACGGGGAGCAGCCCAGAGCCUGAAUCAGUGUGUGUGUUAGUGGAAGCGUCUGGAAAGGCGCGCGAUACAGGGUGACAGCCCCGUACACAAAAAUGCACAUGCUGUGAGCUCGAUGAGUAGGGCGGGACACGUGGUAUCCUGUCUGAAUAUGGGGGGACCAUCCUCCAAGGCUAAAUACUCCUGACUGACCGAUAGUGAACCAGUACCGUGAGGGAAAGGCGAAAAGAACCCCGGCGAGGGGAGUGAAAAAGAACCUGAAACCGUGUACGUACAAGCAGUGGGAGCACGCUUAGGCGUGUGACUGCGUACCUUUUGUAUAAUGGGUCAGCGACUUAUAUUCUGUAGCAAGGUUAACCGAAUAGGGGAGCCGAAGGGAAACCGAGUCUUAACUGGGCGUUAAGUUGCAGGGUAUAGACCCGAAACCCGGUGAUCUAGCCAUGGGCAGGUUGAAGGUUGGGUAACACUAACUGGAGGACCGAACCGACUAAUGUUGAAAAAUUAGCGGAUGACUUGUGGCUGGGGGUGAAAGGCCAAUCAAACCGGGAGAUAGCUGGUUCUCCCCGAAAGCUAUUUAGGUAGCGCCUCGUGAAUUCAUCUCCGGGGGUAGAGCACUGUUUCGGCAAGGGGGUCAUCCCGACUUACCAACCCGAUGCAAACUGCGAAUACCGGAGAAUGUUAUCACGGGAGACACACGGCGGGUGCUAACGUCCGUCGUGAAGAGGGAAACAACCCAGACCGCCAGCUAAGGUCCCAAAGUCAUGGUUAAGUGGGAAACGAUGUGGGAAGGCCCAGACAGCCAGGAUGUUGGCUUAGAAGCAGCCAUCAUUUAAAGAAAGCGUAAUAGCUCACUGGUCGAGUCGGCCUGCGCGGAAGAUGUAACGGGGCUAAACCAUGCACCGAAGCUGCGGCAGCGACGCUUAUGCGUUGUUGGGUAGGGGAGCGUUCUGUAAGCCUGUGAAGGUGUGCUGUGAGGCAUGCUGGAGGUAUCAGAAGUGCGAAUGCUGACAUAAGUAACGAUAAAGCGGGUGAAAAGCCCGCUCGCCGGAAGACCAAGGGUUCCUGUCCAACGUUAAUCGGGGCAGGGUGAGUCGACCCCUAAGGCGAGGCCGAAAGGCGUAGUCGAUGGGAAACAGGUUAAUAUUCCUGUACUUGGUGUUACUGCGAAGGGGGGACGGAGAAGGCUAUGUUGGCCGGGCGACGGUUGUCCCGGUUUAAGCGUGUAGGCUGGUUUUCCAGGCAAAUCCGGAAAAUCAAGGCUGAGGCGUGAUGACGAGGCACUACGGUGCUGAAGCAACAAAUGCCCUGCUUCCAGGAAAAGCCUCUAAGCAUCAGGUAACAUCAAAUCGUACCCCAAACCGACACAGGUGGUCAGGUAGAGAAUACCAAGGCGCUUGAGAGAACUCGGGUGAAGGAACUAGGCAAAAUGGUGCCGUAACUUCGGGAGAAGGCACGCUGAUAUGUAGGUGAAGCGACUUGCUCGUGGAGCUGAAAUCAGUCGAAGAUACCAGCUGGCUGCAACUGUUUAUUAAAAACACAGCACUGUGCAAACACGAAAGUGGACGUAUACGGUGUGACGCCUGCCCGGUGCCGGAAGGUUAAUUGAUGGGGUUAGCGCAAGCGAAGCUCUUGAUCGAAGCCCCGGUAAACGGCGGCCGUAACUAUAACGGUCCUAAGGUAGCGAAAUUCCUUGUCGGGUAAGUUCCGACCUGCACGAAUGGCGUAAUGAUGGCCAGGCUGUCUCCACCCGAGACUCAGUGAAAUUGAACUCGCUGUGAAGAUGCAGUGUACCCGCGGCAAGACGGAAAGACCCCGUGAACCUUUACUAUAGCUUGACACUGAACAUUGAGCCUUGAUGUGUAGGAUAGGUGGGAGGCUUUGAAGUGUGGACGCCAGUCUGCAUGGAGCCGACCUUGAAAUACCACCCUUUAAUGUUUGAUGUUCUAACGUUGACCCGUAAUCCGGGUUGCGGACAGUGUCUGGUGGGUAGUUUGACUGGGGCGGUCUCCUCCUAAAGAGUAACGGAGGAGCACGAAGGUUGGCUAAUCCUGGUCGGACAUCAGGAGGUUAGUGCAAUGGCAUAAGCCAGCUUGACUGCGAGCGUGACGGCGCGAGCAGGUGCGAAAGCAGGUCAUAGUGAUCCGGUGGUUCUGAAUGGAAGGGCCAUCGCUCAACGGAUAAAAGGUACUCCGGGGAUAACAGGCUGAUACCGCCCAAGAGUUCAUAUCGACGGCGGUGUUUGGCACCUCGAUGUCGGCUCAUCACAUCCUGGGGCUGAAGUAGGUCCCAAGGGUAUGGCUGUUCGCCAUUUAAAGUGGUACGCGAGCUGGGUUUAGAACGUCGUGAGACAGUUCGGUCCCUAUCUGCCGUGGGCGCUGGAGAACUGAGGGGGGCUGCUCCUAGUACGAGAGGACCGGAGUGGACGCAUCACUGGUGUUCGGGUUGUCAUGCCAAUGGCACUGCCCGGUAGCUAAAUGCGGAAGAGAUAAGUGCUGAAAGCAUCUAAGCACGAAACUUGCCCCGAGAUGAGUUCUCCCUGACUCCUUGAGAGUCCUGAAGGAACGUUGAAGACGACGACGUUGAUAGGCCGGGUGUGUAAGCGCAGCGAUGCGUUGAGCUAACCGGUACUAAUGAACCGUGAGGCUUAACCU
rnacentral:rRNA from 1 species